CCACUGCAGUAUCGUUAACUCGCGUUUCUUCUUCAGUUUUUUACAGCAUCCAAAGUCUAAAUGAAGUUCCAAUCCGAGCCACAUCCUUACUAAGAGAAAUUCUUAUUUUUUUCAAAAACAGA